GUGGGGAGUGUGUGACUGGUCAGGCACCGUGUUAUGCAGUGAUGCGCACGGUGUCUCCAGUGCACAUUCAUAGCCCGAUGCGCUCUAUUCCAGCUCCCCGCAUUUGCCGCGCUAGAAUGGGCAUCCAGCCAGGACGGGUUGUGCCGGCUCAGUGCUCCUUGUCUCCAGUACACCUCUUCGGACCAGGAUAUCCUGCGCCAGCUCUACGUACUCUAUCGCCAGUACGCCUUCACAGCCCAGUCACACACAGCCCAGUGUGUCCUGUCCCAGCGCCCCGCACUUAUCGAGCUAAAGUGAGCAUCCAGCCAGGAUUCAUUGUGUCAGCUCUAUGCUCCAAAUCUCCAGUGCGCAUCCACAGUCCAGUACGUCCUGUGCCUCUUCCCCGCACUCGCCCUGAGGUGCGUGUCAUCAGCCCGGUGCCACCGGUACCGGUCACAUGCAUCAAGCCUCCAGUGCGCCUCCACAGUUUCCCGGCGACAGUCUCCAGUCCAGAGCUUCCGGCGACAGUCCCCAGUCUAGAGCUUCCGGCGACAGUUCCCAGUCCAGAGCUUCCGGCGACGUUUCGGAACCUCCACCUACGGGCCAUGGUCCGGAACCUGCAACGACGAUCUACGGUCCGGUUCCUCCGGCAACGAUCCACGGUCCGGAGCCUCCGGAGACGACCCACGGUCCGGAGCUUCCAGAGCUGCGUCCAGAACCAGAGCCGCCACCAAGGGUAGAUGCCCACCCGGACCCUCCCCUAUAGGUUCAGGUUUGCGGCCGGAAGUCCGCACCUUUGGGGGGGGGGGGGGGUACUGUCAAGCCCUGACCUUAGAUAUCUCUGUAUGUCUAGGGGUGUUGUCAUCUAGGUGUAUUGUAUGUCUAUGUUGGCCUGAUAUGGUUCCCAAUCAGAGACAGCUGUUUAUCGUUGUCUCUGAUUGGGGAUCAUAUUUAGGUAGCCAUUUUCCUUGUUUGUGUUGUGGGAUCUUGUCUACUGUAAGUUGCCUUUGUGCACUCCAGUAGCUUCACGUUUCGUUUGUGCUUUUUGUUUGUUUUGUUUAGUGAGUUUCUCUUUAUUAAAAUUAUGUGGAACUCAAUGCCCGCUGCGCCUUGGUCUCCUCUUUACGACGAUCGUGACACUGCAAUAUUAAGCUGAUCUACCACCUAAAAUAUAUAUUCUUAAUAAUCUGGUCAGACAAGAUUAAUAAUAGGAAUGCAGUCAUCCCUCCAUUUCCUUACCACGCAGGGAGGAGGAGCUCUACCUAAACAGGACAUGAGAGUAGAUAGCUCCAAACGACUUCACUGACAUUGACCUUAAAGGUUAAGAAGAAAACAGACAGGAUAAUUGGCACUUAUCAGAAUGGUUGUUACACUGCACUCAUUGCUCUUCUGUUUAUCCUUCACACUGUAAAUGGACAGACUACUACAGGUAGGUAGAGCACACACACAUACCGUAGAUUAACCUUUUCUUACAUGACAAUUUAGUCAAGGACUUCAAUACAAAAUGUCAUGUUAACAUUUUAGCCAUUUUAGUCUUGUACUGUACACUGGUUAUCCCAUAUCUACGUGAGGAUAAAACAUUCCUAAACAGUACUGUUGAUAAUAAAUAUGACACAAAUAAAUUGAAUAGGCUUUCCAGUCCAUUUAUAUAUUGUUUUGCAAAACCUUUCUCAACUCUUCUGCAUAAAUGACUCCAAUUUGUCUUGCUGUUUGUCCUCUGAGUACAGCAACUCCACCAUCGAGCACUACUGAUCCACCAUUGAGCUCAGCAGCAACUCCACCAUCGAGCACUACUGAUCCACCAUUGAGCUCAGCAGCCCCACAGUCAAGUGGGACUCCUGUCCAACAAACGAGGUCAAAUGAUCCACUGUCAAGCUCAACAGCCACUUCAUCCUCAACAACUUCACCAUCAGAUACAACAGCUUCAUCAGUUGGUUUAACACCCUCGUCAACACCCUCACUGAUUGGUGCCUCAUUUCCAGUGUCAAACACAGACAACCCUACAUCUAUUGUUUGAUGCCUCAACAGCCAAAUGCAACAGCUCUGCCAUCAAAUGUAACAACUCCAUCUACCAAUACAAGCUCUCAAAGUGCAUGGACAACUCUGGCCACUACAGGCGGGUCAUUCAAUACCACUCAAUAUCACUUUGGCAAUUUGUUGACACCAUUUCCUGGGAUUAGUGGAACUAGCCCAGUUUCUCUGGUGGCUCCAUUCUCAAGUCAGUUUCUCUGCAAUGCAUCAGAUAAAAUAAAUUAUGAAUCAAAUCCUGCUGUAAAUAUAACUACCAUAUACUUGAAUUAUUGUCCCAUCAUUUUAAAAUGUUCCUUUUUUGAAAAUUCUGAAUAAAUGAUAACUGAUUACAAACUUUACAUUCAAUAGCAAGGUAAAGUACACCUAUGCUUUUAACAUAUUUUCAUACUUGUUUUUAUAUGUUUGCAUUCUAGGGAAAUGUUCUUCAAAUCCACCUCUGUGUUGUCUUGGGCUCAAAAAUUCCUGUUUCAGUGAUGUGGCCUGUAUAAGGUUGAAGGAUUGCUGCCCAGAAUUCCGGACUACUUGUGUGACAGGUGUGCAGAUUGGAUCAGCCACGGUGUCCCCAGUCUCCAACGCAACCAAUUCCACUUCCACAUCAUUCCCAGUGUUCUCAUUUCCAGGAAAUUGUUCUGCACGGCCGGCCUUGUGCUGUAAAGGCACCAAUGUGAAUUGCUUCAGAGGGUCCUUCUGUGAUGAGGUUUGUCAGACUCUAAAUGACUGCUGUCCUGACUAUGCAGAUACCUGCACAAAAGACAUUCAGAAGGUGAUUGGUAGUGGAAUGAUAUCCAUUCUUGCUCCACCCAAUUCAACUGAUGCGUCUCUUGAAGUGUCUAUUCAGAAUGCUGCAUUACAGCUGUAGACCUAUCUCAAGACAACAUACACUGAAAUCAGCACCUUCAGAAUCAUCAAACUUAAGAAGACCGGAAAGACUUCAUUUGUAAAUCUGCUCAAACACAUCAGAAAUAUGUAAUUAGGUUGCAUUUUUCUUUCUCUCUGUUUGAUGAAACGAAACAUAAUUGAUUAUAUUACAACGUAAAGCACUUGUUAUAGAUACUUCUAAUGUAUAUCUGGUUUGACGGGUACUAUGUGGGAAAACAAUAAUAUGUUAAUUGUAUUGGUCGCAUACACAUAUUUAUCAGAUGUUAUUGUGGGUGGUGUGAAAUGCUUGUGUACAGAGAAAUGCUUUGCACGGCUGUCUGUGGAUGAGAUGGGUCUUUAAUGUAAUUUCUCAAAUAAAUUGUCAGACUUAUUGGACUAAACAUUGAACAUGAAAUGAAUCAUACAAUACUGUUCCUCCCUGAACAAGCAGGAAGUUGCCAGUAGAGGUCAUAGUAACACAGUUUUCCAUUGCAUGAUGCUUUCCUUGCCUUUCUCCUGUAUAGAAUAAACCACCUUUCUUGA